GUAGCUGCGUCUCGACGUUGCUUGGCAACCAUUCAGAUAGAGGAAAUAUAUUUCUUAGCGGAAAUAUGGUUAUCUAUGAAUAAAUCGUUACAUUUUCUGUUGCUGUGCUUUAACUUUAUGAAACUUUGCCGGGUAUUUAUAUCGCUAGCGCGUCGUGCCUAACAACGCCCUUAGCUGUUGUAAAAUCAGUGUAACCUAGGGCCUCUCGGGGCUUAUUGCUUAAAUAUACCGUCAUAACUUAGCCUCCUCCUGUUGAGUUUGGAUGGCGUAUGUAUCCUUUCCCCUAUCUUUGGUACACUCCUCUUGUCCACGUCACACUCUGCAUUUCAUAUCUAUUUCCUUCUCCCUGUUACCAUCAUGGUCCCCCCUGCUUUUCUCUCCCCCCCCCCCCCCCCCCCUCUCUCUCUCUCUGGAGCAGGGGCGGUUUUAGGGGCGGGGCCACAGGGGCCCUGGCCCCACCUGAAAUUUCAUUGGCCCCUGAAUGGCCCCUGUACCGUCAAUCAUCAAUAAAUGUCAAACUUGUUGAGAACGAUGAUCAGAGAUGCAAUUCCAUUCCCAAACAACUGGUGGCAGUAAUGCACCUUUUGAAGCUUGAAAGCUAAAGCACACAAAGAACUGCUUAGGUCUGUGCACGAAAGAAAGAAUACAUUUGGCUAACCAGAGAACUCUCGGCUAAUGCGAAGAACUGAUACAUUUGGCUAACGAAAGUAUCAGCUAGCGUGAAGAACCGAUCAAUGGCAGCGUUUCAUCCUCCACAGAAGUUUCUUGACUGGGAUGGCGUAGGCUCAGAUUGGAGCUGGUGACUUUAACCCACAGUCUUCAGAACCACCAGAGUCACCAAGCAUAGCUGCUCCUAAUGACAUUUCCCAUUAUAGAGCAGCUGGUUCUGUGCAACCAAAGGUAUUCCGCAAGAUACAGCAUGGAAAUAGGAAGGGGCCACUAAAUGACUUCUAAUACAAAGACUUCAAAUGGUUGGAGUAUUCCAUAUUUAGUGUUUUGCUACCCCUUCCAUAAUUUUUUCGCUUCCAAAUUCCCCAUCGUCUGUCUUCAAAUCAGAAUCAGACUUUUGUAACUGGAAGCAAGACGGUGAUUCAAAGACCAUUCCAAAUCAGACCAUUGU